CGGCUAUCCCCGGGGGGCCGCUUAUGUGUGGCUGAGAGGUGGGCAGCAGCCCACGACCCGCUGAACCUGAUCCGGUUGAUACCGGCGUAGGGAGGGCCAGCGGCAGUUUU
rfam:Novosphingobium sp. P6W scaffoldA10, whole genome shotgun sequence.